GUUUGGGAGCCUCGCAGGAUGCUUUUCUGAGGCAUGGAGCGGCAGUGACAGGAACCUCUGGACCACGAGAGGAUCUUCUGCGAUCACGAUGACCAUCACAUGGAGCUCUUCCUCAAAGUCGGCUGUGACAGGGCAUUUUUGGGACUGUACCUAAGCAAGUAACACUGCCUGAGACCAGGUGUGGCCAACAUCAGAGGCCUGCAGAGUUUUGCAGAGAAACUCACCUGCCUUUAGCUUUCUAUAACCUUUAGACCUCGAUUAGCUUGUGCUUGAUUAGGGUUGGAGCUGAACUCUGCAGGACUGUGGCUCUCCAGAACCAACUUUAGCCACCCCUGCGCUAGACACUAUCAAGGCUUGCCAGCCCUGCAAGAUGCUAUUGCAUUGUGGGAAGUCCUGAACUGUGGUGGUAAUUAUAGUGCUUUCAUAAAUGUGAAAAUGAUUCUAUAUACUAUCUAUACACUUAAAUAACUGCAAUAGAUCUGAGAACUACUUCUAGGAAUUAUUCCUGUUUUAUGCCGUAACAUAUAUUGUAGUAUAUUAUGAUACGUGGCCCAGAAACAGUGUCCAGAUUAGGCAAGUCUUUUGUAGGAUUUUUUGAACGCGG
ensembl:lncRNA